GUACACACAAACACUACAUCCACUACACAAACACACACUACAUCACUGUACACACACUACAUCCACUACUCAAACACACUCAGCGUUCACUAUACACACUGCAUCCGCUACACAAACACACUCUGCAUUCACUGCACAAACAGUAUCUAAUACACACAAACACUACAUACAUUACACACAUUCUAAUUCACCUCCACUAUACACACUACAUUCAGUCCCGCAUCAUUGUCAGCAGACUAGGUAGGGCAUGGGCGGGCCCGGGGGGAACAGAGGGGUGC